rnacentral:rRNA from 1 species
UACGGGGGGGGCAAGCGUUGUUCGGAAUUACUGGGCGUAAAGGGCUCGUAGGCGGCUAGCUCAGUCGGACGUGAAAUCCCUCGGCUCAACCGGGGAACUGCGUCCGAUACUGGCUGGCUUGAGGUUGGGAGAGGGAUGCGGAAUUCCAGGUGUAGCGGUGGAAUGCGGAGAUAUCUGGAGGAACACCGGUGGCGAAGGCGGCAUCCUGGGCCAAUACUGGCGCUGAGGGAGCGAAAGCCAGGGGAGCAAACGGG